GGAUGGAAUUAAUGAAUCAGUUUAAACUUUAAUGGUCAAAAGAAACCUUCCAAACGCAAGAAGCAAGCUGGAGAUUCACUCGCCCUUUUCAUUGCCAUAAAAGAAUGUACAGGUGCGCGUGGUUGUUGUCUGUGAUGCUGGCAGCUUUACGCACCGGCGACAUCGCUGAUUUCGCGCGCACGGAAACACCGGUUACGCUAGAGAGGCAAUCAAAACACACACGAGUCCAGACUCCACGAAGCAACCGAGAACAGGUGCUCUGUGGCAGUGAUCGGGAUUGUCCCAACAGAAGUUUCUGUCCAACACAUGACUUCAGGCAUGACAACAGUCUCGGCCCCUCUCGCUCUCGUUGUGCGCCCUGCAGGAGGAAAGGGAGACGCUGUCAUAGAGAUCAAAUGUGCUGUCUCGGCAACCAUUGUCGCAAUUAUGUCUGCCAUCCAGUUGUCCACAGGCAUAGCGUCUUGUACUCCCGUCUGCCGUAUGCACGCAGCGUGAAAAAGAAAAAGUCAAGAACACCUAGCAGAACACCUGACGCGAAAGGUGUGUGUGUGCGCUCCUCAGACUGCAGGCCAGGUGAGUGUUGUGCACGCUGGCUCUGGGUGCGCGUGUGUAAGCCGCGGCCGAAGGCUGGGGAGGUGUGUGCUAGCGACGCGCGGAGGAAAGAGACACUUGGGCUGGACCUGUACCAGCGCUGCCCCUGUGAUACGGGACUCUCCUGUACUGCCCACACACACACACACACUCACACGGGCUCCAACACACACACACAAACCCAUAAGCAUGCUCACAGACUACAUACAUGCCAGAUGGCAAAGCUCAGCUAACACAGAAAGCACAUAAGCACACACACACACACACACACACACACACACAUCAGAUGUAGAAGGGAGACCAGGAAGAAGAUAAAGAUAUUUGUCUCUUUGGAAUUUAGUGGGAUAUAUUGAAGGCCAGCACAGAGAGUGCAUGUGAUUGUGUGUGUGUGUGUGUGUGUGUGUGUGUGUGUGUGUGUGUGUGUGUGUGUGUGUGUGUGUGUGUGUGUGUGUGUGUGUGUCUGUGUCUGUGUCUCUGUGUGUGUGUGUGUGUGUGUGUGUGUGUGUGUGUGUGUGUGUGUGUGUGUGUGGGUGUGUGUGUGUGUAUGUGUGUGUGUGUGUGUGUGUGUGUGUCAUGUCAUAAUCAGCUAUGAUAUAGAGUGCACUUAGCCAACAAUCUGACUGUAGGAGAAUAAAAAUGUUUAACGGUCCAACAUUCCA